UCCGGAUUAGCUCAGCGGUAGAGUAGAUGACUGUUAAUCAUUUGGUCACUGGUUCGAAUCCAGUAUCCGGAGCCA
rnacentral:tRNA from 1 species